AGCACUGAACACAGAUCACUCACCAUGGAGUGGGGACUGAGCUGGGUUUUCCUUGUUGCUAUUUUAAAAGGUGUCCAGUGUGCGGUGCAGCUGGUGGAGUCUGGGGGAGGCUUGGUGAAGCCUGAUGGGUCCCUGAAACUCUCCUGUGCAGCCUCUGGAUUCAUCUUCAGUGAUAACUGGGUGCACUGGGUCCGCCAGGCUGCUGGGAAGGGACUGGAGUGGCUCUCAUACAUUAGGUAUGAUGGUGGUAGCACAAGUCAUGCAGACUCCGUGAAGGGCAGGUUCACCAUCUCCAGAGACAAUAACAAGAACACACUGUAUCUGCAAAUGAACAGCCUGAGAGCCGAGGACACUGCCACGUAUUACUGUGCAAGACACUCAGUGUGUGAACUUCAGUUUGAGCCAGACACAAACCUCCCUGCAGGGACGCGCACAACCAGCAGGGGGCGUACACUACACACUGAGCUCAGGGUCAGCCAUGUGCAGGUGCAGAGGGAGUUAAGUGAUGGUUUCCUGUCAGGGUCAGAGGCUUCCUCUCCACAGGACUGUUUCCCAAAGGAGAUUCUGGUUUCCUGUUUUGGUGCUUUCCACCGAUAUUGCUAA